rnacentral:rRNA from 1 species
CGAUUAAGUUAUUAAGGGCGCACGGUGGAUGCCUUGGCACUAGAAGCCGAAGAAGGACGUUACUAACGACGAUAUGCUUUGGGGAGCUGUAAGUACGCUUUGAUCCAGAGAUUUCCGAAUGGGGAAACCCAGCAUGAGUUAUGUCAUGUUAUCCGCAUAUGAAUACAUAGUAUGUGAGAAGGCACACCCGGAGAACUGAAACAUCUUAGUACCCGGAGGAAGAGAAAGAAAACUCGAUUCCCUGAGUAGCGGCGAGCGAAACGGGAAGAGCCCAAACCAAUAGGCUUGCCUAUUGGGGUUGUAGGACACUCUAUACGGAGUUACAAAGGAAAUGAUUAGACGAAUGGUUUUGGAAAAGCCAACCAUAGAAGGUAAAGGUCCUGUAGUCG